GACGAACGCUGGCGGCGUGCUUAACACAUGCAAGUCGAACGGAAAGGCCCUGCUUUUGUGGGGUGCUCGAGUGGCGAACGGGUGAGUAACACGUGAGUAACCUGCCCUUGACUUUGGGAUAACUUCAGGAAACUGGGGCUAAUACCGGAUAGGAGCUCCUGCUGCAUGGUGGGGGUUGGAAAGUUUCGGCGGUUGGGGAUGGACUCGCGGCUUAUCAGCUUGUUGGUGGGGUAGUGGCUUACCAAGGCUUUGACGGGUGGCCGGCCUGAGAGGGUGACCGGCCACAUUGGGACUGAGAUACGGCCCAGACUCCUACGGGAGGCAGCAGGGGGGAAUAUUGCACAAUGGGCGGAAGCCGGAUGCAGCAACGCCGCGGGCGGGAUGACGGCCUUCGGGUUGUAAACCGUUUUCGCCUGUGACGAAGCGUGAGUGACGGUAAUGGGUAAAGAAGCACCGGCUAACUACGUG
rnacentral:rRNA from 1 species